UACGGGGGGGGCAAGCGUUGUUCGGAAUUACUGGGCGUAAAGGGUGCGUAGGUGGUUGCAUAAGUUAGGUGUGAAAGUCCUGGGCUUAACCUGGGGACUGCGCCUAAGACUGUGUGGCUAGAGUACUGUAGAGGAAGGUGGAAUUUCCAGUGUAGCGGUGAAAUGCGUAGAUAUUGGAAGGAACAUCGGUGGCGAAGGCGACUUUCUGGACAGAUACUGACACUGAGGCACGAGAGCAUGGGGAGCAAACAGG
rnacentral:rRNA from 1 species